AUUAGGUAAUCCAAGAAACGUUGAGAAGUGCAAGCAUACUGUCAUUCACAAACUGGCAGUAGCAAGGGUACUUACAAGAGCAAGCUGAUAUAAUUGAAAAGAAUGGAGGUGCUGUCUCUUUGAAUGGGUUUGAAAUUGUUCUACGACAGCUACAGAAGUUGGCACCUGAACUACAUCGAGUUCACUUUCUGAGCAUUUGAAUAGUCUUUCUCAUGAUGAUUAUAUUGCUGCUUUGGAGAAUCUUCAUUGCUACUUGGAUUACAAGUAUUUGAACUGGGUUGAAUCAGUAUCUGUGGACAUGAAGGAGAAGAAAAUGAGUUUAAUUGGUGAAAACAGCACUUAUUAGAUGAUUUAAAUACAUUAUUAGAUAUUAACAUAGUUUAGGAAACUAGAUGGUAGAUUUGACUAAUUAGUGUUUAUUGCAAUAUUUGUAUUUUAGUAAGUUUAGUAAGACAAGGUUUUGUA